CUCUUUCUUCCCUUGCCCUCUGCCUGUGCAGCCUUACAGUACUGCCUUUAUAAAGACACUUGCAGGUCUCAUGCCAUGUUUUUUGCUGAACUGUGCGGACAGAAAACAGGUCUUAGAACUUUACUGAAAUCCUCUCAAAAGAAAUAGUAAGAGAGAUAAUUCAGUGGAUGGUAAAGGAGACAGAAAUUAGAUGGAUUAACUCACCUCACUAACGCAUAAUGUAAUAAGAUAGACCAGGGACACAGAG